rnacentral:misc_RNA from 1 species
UGCCUCUUGUUGGUCAUCAUCAACAGAGGAUAACUGGGUGGCGGCGCUGUUGAGGAGUUGAUAGCCCUUGAAGCUGAGCAGUGGAAUUGUGUGCUCAGAAGGCUUAAAGAUUGCAACUUUUUCAAGAUUCCUCAUGGAAAUAGCCAUUGAGAGUCCAUUGGAAGUGGAAAAAAUUGCCACCAAUUUGGGAUUUUUGAGCUAG